rnacentral:rRNA from 1 species
GUACGUUAGCGACAGAAGAAGCACCGGCUAACUACCGUGCCAGCAGCCGCGGUAAUACGGAGGGUGCGAGCGUUAAUACGGAAUUACUGGGCGCAAAGCGCAUGCAGGUGGUUUGUUAAGUCAGAUGUGAAAGACCCGGGCGUCAACCUCGGAAUAGCAUUUGUAAACUGGCAGACUAGAGUACUGUAGAGGGGGGUAGGAAUUUCAGGUGUAGCGGUGAAAUGCGUAGAGAUCUGAAGGAAUACCGGUGGCGAAGGACGGCCCCCUCGGACAGAUACUGACACUCAGAUGCGAAAGCGUGGGGAGCAAACAGGAUUAGAUACCCUGGUAG